UACGAAGGGGGCUAGCGUUGCUCGGAAUCACUGGGCGUAAAGCGCACGUAGGCGGACUCUUAAGUCGGUGGUGAAAUCCUGGAGCUCAACUCCAGAACUGCCUUUGAUACUGAAGAUCUUGAGUUCGGGAGAGGUGAGUGGAACUGCGAGUGUAGAGGUGAAAUUCGUAGAUAUUCGCAAGAACACCAGUGGCGAAGGCGGCUCACUGGCCCGAUACUGACGCUGAGGCACGAAAAGCGUGGGGAGCAAACAGG
rnacentral:rRNA from 1 species